rnacentral:rRNA from 1 species
GACGAACGCUGGCGGCGUGCUUAACACAUGCAAGUCGAACGGAAAGGCCCUGCUUUUGUGGGGUGCUCGAGUGGCGAACGGGUGAGUAACACGUGAGUAACCUGCCCUUGACUUUGGGAUAACUUCAGGAAACUGGGGCUAAUACCGGAUAGGAGCUCCUGCUGCAUGGUGGGGGUUGGAAAGUUUCGGCGGUUGGGGACGGACUCGCGGCUUAUCAGCUUGUUGGUGGGGUAGUGGCUUACCAAGGCUUUGACGGGUAGCCGGCCUGAGAGGGUGACCGGCCACAUUGGGACUGAGAUACGGGCCAGACUCCUACGGGAGGCAGCAGUGGGGAAUAUUGCACAAUGGGCGGAAGCCUGAUGCAGCAACGCCGCGUGCGGGAUGACGGCCUUCGGGUUGUAAACCGCUUUCGCCUGUGACGAAGCGUGAGUGACGGUAAUGGGUAAAGAAGCACCGGCUAACUACGUG